rnacentral:rRNA from 1 species
CAGUCGCCACGGUAAUACGAGGGGGGCGAGCGUUGUUCGGAAUUACUGGGCGUAAAGCGCACGUAGGCGGCUUUGUAAGUUAGAGGUGAAAGCCCGGAGCUCAAUUCCGGAAUUGCCUUUAAGACUGCAGGGCUAGCAGGUGAGAGAGGUGAGUGGAAUUCCGAGUGUAGAGGUGAAAUUCGUAGAUAUUCGGAAGAACACCAGUGGCGAAGGCGGCUCACUGGCUCAUACUGGACGCUGAGGUGCGAAAGCGUGGGGAGCAAACAGGAUUAGAUACCCGCGUAGUCCCUGUCUCUUAUAC